UACGUAGGGUGCAAGCGUUAAUCGGAAUUAUUGGGCGUAAAGCGUGCGCAGGCGGCUUUGCAAGUCAGAUGUGAAAUCCCCGGGCUCAACCUGGGAACUGCAUUUGUGACUGCAAGGCUAGAGUACGGUAGAGGGGGAUGGAACUCCGCGUGUAGCAGUGAAAUGCGUAGAUAUGCGGAGGAACACCGAUGGCGAAGGCAAUCCCCUGGACCUGUACUGACGCUCAUGCACGAAAGCGUGGGGAGCAAACAGG
rnacentral:rRNA from 1 species